AGGAGCUUCUGGAAGUGUGGUUGCCCAAAUUCUCUCAAAGGAGUGGAAGCUAGAUAUUCUGAAAUAAUCAUACCCUAGUUAUUUAUCAAAUAGUUAAUAAAAUUUUAUAUGUAAACAUGUACUUAAAACCACUUUACACUCUUCAAAUGCUUUACAAAUAGUCACAAAUUUAAUCCUAAUAUAAGACAAUGAAUAGGUAACGUUAUUAUGGGACUUUUUAGAGAUAUAGAAACUAAGAUGGAUAGAGGUUAUUUAACCUUCUCAAGUGCGUUAAGCUAGUCACAUUAGAGUCAGGAUUUGAACCCAGGCAGUCUGGCUUCAACGCCAAGCUUCCCCUCAAUCACUUCUACCAUCAGAUAAUAUUGCUUCAUACUCACAGUGUUAGCACCAAGAAUGUAAGUUUAGCUAACUGAUCAUAUGAAUUUUGUUGAAAUUCUGUUUAUUUUUCUUCCAGAGAACUCAAUAUGGAACACUUUUUCUCUUUUGAUUCAGACAACCUAUGGAGAUUUUGAUCCUGUACUGAAAGGAACUGAAUGUGGAAAUUUUUGGAGUGUCCAUUCAAUGCCUCCCUGGAGUCUCUGCCAAAGGAAACAUUAGACACGACUCUGUCUGGAUCCAGCUACUACAUCUAUGAUGCUGUGGAUGUGGUGGCCUGAGCCCUCCAUGAAAUACUUUUUAUAAAAGCAGAACAGGGGUCCAUAAUGGAUGCAGGCCAGCUCAUGUUUCUCCCUUAGCAGGUUGCAAGUAAACCUCUAAUGAUUGUAGGGUCUAAUUAGCAACAGUGUCAACUCUUUUAACUAGAAAUAAUUGAUUAAAAACUUUCACUGUGAGAGGUAGGAAGAAGCAGGCUGUCUUUCUUUGUCUCUUCUUGAGCUCGAGGAAACUCCCUAGCACCCCUAAAGCAAACCUCAUUGCUCAAGGUGCAGCUCAGGUUUAGCCCCACAGCACUCCCUGGACGUGGAAUCUUCAGGAAUGGUUUAAACCUCACCAUGUGCUCUCUGAGGGCAGACAAGAAUGCCUGCUUCCUUAAGCGUGCAGAAUAGUAAACACUCCCCAAAUUGAACUUAUUCAGAGGAUGACUAAUAUAGAGGGAAAAAAAUCUAAUUGCUGGGCAACUCAGUAUCCCCACCAGUUCGAAUCUGGGUUUUCUGCCUUCAAUUUCCAUGCUCAUUUCAUUUCCCAAUUAUGUCUCCCUUUUAGCUCCACCCAUUCCUAAGAAACACCCAAUUUUAAAAAAGCACUGGAGCUCACGUGUCACUGGAUGAGAAAAGAAACUCUGUGUCACAGCAUGUAAUUCUGAACUAUAUGAUUUUCCUAAAGGUCUUGGACUUCAGGUGAAAGACGUUCUGUCAGCCAGGAUUCAGGAACAUCCCUCAGGAAGAGAGAGCUACCUGCUGCUUUGUCUGUGUAUUGUGCCCAGAGAGAGAAAUAUGUAAUCAGACAGAAAAGAAAAGUGUCUGUGGGGCUCAAGUUUGAGUUGAAACCAGGCUCAGGGUCCACCUGUCCUCGCUGAUCCGUGGAUUUCUGUGUGACCAGCUGACACCUAUGGAGCUGUGGCCCUGACUACUACCACUUUGGGGCACAACCUGAAGACCCUCACAGUCACCUUCCCCAUCUCCACCCUCCAGUAUUCAUCAGACAGGAGCAAUGGCUCAGCCACGUUCCACUCCACUGAGAGGGUCCUGCAGAGCCUGGGGAGACCCUGGUCCCAGCAGCUCCUGGUGGGUUAAAUCCCACCCAGCCCCUCCCCCACUCCCUGUCCCUCCUGCUCCUCCUCCUCCUCCUUCCUCCCCAGCUGGAU